AAAUUGAAGAGUUUGAUCAUGGCUCAGAUUGAACGCUGGCGGCAGGCCUAACACAUGCAAGUCGAGCGGUAGCACAGAGAGCUUGCUCUCGGGUGACGAGCGGCGGACGGGUGAGUAAUGUCUGGGAAACUGCCUGAUGGAGGGGGAUAACUACUGGAAACGGUAGCUAAUACCGCAUAACGUCGCAAGACCAAAGUGGGGGACCUUCGGGCCUCAUGCCAUCAGAUGUGCCCAGAUGGGAUUAGCUAGUAGGUGGGGUAACGGCUCACCUAGGCGACGAUCCCUAGCUGGUCUGAGAGGAUGACCAGCCACACUGGAACUGAGACACGGUCCAGACUCCUACGGGAGGCAGCAGUGGGGAAUAUUGCACAAUGGGCGCAAGCCUGAUGCAGCCAUGCCGCGUGUGUGAAGAAGGCCUUCGGGUUGUAAAGCACUUUCAGCGGGGAGGAAGGCGAUAAGGUUAAUAACCUUGUCGAUUGACGUUACCCGCAGAAGAAGCACCGGCUAACUCCGUGCCAGCAGCCGCGGUAAUACGGAGGGUGCAAGCGUUAAUCGGAAUUACUGGGCGUAAAGCGCACGCAGGCGGUCUGUCAAGUCGGAUGUGAAAUCCCCGGGCUCAACCUGGGAACUGCAUUCGAAACUGGCAGGCUAGAGUCUUGUAGAGGGGGGUAGAAUUCCAGGUGUAGCGGUGAAAUGCGUAGAGAUCUGGAGGAAUACCGGUGGCGAAGGCGGCCCCCUGGACAAAGACUGACGCUCAGGUGCGAAAGCGUGGGGAGCAAACAGGAUUAGAUACCCUGGUAGUCCACGCCGUAAACGAUGUCGAUUUGGAGGUUGUGCCCUUGAGGCGUGGCUUCCGGAGCUAACGCGUUAAAUCGACCGCCUGGGGAGUACGGCCGCAAGGUUAAAACUCAAAUGAAUUGACGGGGGCCCGCACAAGCGGUGGAGCAUGUGGUUUAAUUCGAUGCAACGCGAAGAACCUUACCUGGUCUUGACAUCCACAGAACUUUCCAGAGAUGGAUUGGUGCCUUCGGGAGCUGUGAGACAGGUGCUGCAUGGCUGUCGUCAGCUCGUGUUGUGAAAUGUUGGGUUAAGUCCCGCAACGAGCGCAACCCUUAUCCUUUGUUGCCAGCGGUUCGGCCGGGAACUCAAAGGAGACUGCCAGUGAUAAACUGGAGGAAGGUGGGGAUGACGUCAAGUCAUCAUGGCCCUUACGACCAGGGCUACACACGUGCUACAAUGGCAUAUACAAAGAGAAGCGACCUCGCGAGAGCAAGCGGACCUCAUAAAGUAUGUCGUAGUCCGGAUUGGAGUCUGCAACUCGACUCCAUGAAGUCGGAAUCGCUAGUAAUCGUAGAUCAGAAUGCUACGGUGAAUACGUUCCCGGGCCUUGUACACACCGCCCGUCACACCAUGGGAGUGGGUUGCAAAAGAAGUAGGUAGCUUAACCUUCGGGAGGGCGCUUACCACUUUGUGAUUCAUGACUGGGGUGAAGUCGUAACAAGGUAACCGUAGGGGAACCUGCGGUUGGAUCACCUCCUUA
rnacentral:rRNA from 1 species